rnacentral:rRNA from 1 species
UACAGAGGUCCCAAGCGUUGUUCGGAUUCACUGGGCGUAAAGGGUGCGCAGGUGGCGCUUCAAGUUUGAUGUGAAAGCUUCGGGCUUAACCCGGAAAUGGCAUUGAAUACUGGAGUGCUGGAGGUUUGGAGGGGGACUGGAAUUCUCGGUGUAGCAGUGAAAUGCGUAGAUAUCGAGAGGAACACCAGUGGCGAAGGCGAGUCCCUGGACAACACCUGACACUGAGGCACGAAAGCUAGGGGAGCAAACAGG